rnacentral:rRNA from 1 species
CUACGGGUGGCUGCAGUGGGGAAUAUUGCACAAUGGGCGCAAGCCUGAUGCAGCCAUGCCGCGUGUAUGAAGAAGGCCUUCGGGUUGUAAAGUACUUUCAGCGGGGAGGAAGGGAGUAAAGUUAAUACCUUUGCUCAUUGACGUUACCCGCAGAAGAAGCACCGGCUAACUCCGCGCCAGCAGCCGCGGUAAUACGGAGGGUGCAAGCGUUAAUCGGAAUUACUGGGCGUAAAGCGCACGCAGGCGGUUUGUUAAGUCAGAUGUGAAAUCCCCGGGCUCAACCUGGGAACUGCAUCUGAUACUGGCAAGCUUGAGUCCCGUAGAGGGGGGUAGAAUUCCAGGUGUAGCGGUGAAAUGCGUAGAGAUCUGGAGGAAUACCGGUGGCGAAGGCGGCCCCCUGGACGAAGACUGACGCUCAGGUGCGAAAGCGUGGGGAGCAAACAGGAUUAGAUACCCGAGUAGUC